rnacentral:tRNA from 1 species
UACCCUGUCGCCAAGCGGUAAGGCAGCGGGUUUUGAUCCCGUCAUUCCUAGGUUCAAAUCCUAGCAGGGUAGCCA